rnacentral:rRNA from 1 species
GACGGAGGGUGCUAGCGUUGUUCGGAAUGACUGGGCGUAAAGGGCGCGUAGGCGGUCAGCACAAGUCAGUUGUGAAAUCUCCGGGCUUAACUCGGAAAGGUCAACUGAUACUGUGCGACUAGAGUGCGGAAGGGGCAACUGGAAUUCUCGGUGUAGCGGUGAAAUGCGUAGAUAUCGAGAGGAACACCUGCGGCGAAGGCGGGUUGCUGGGCCGACACUGACGCUGAUGCGCGAAAGCCAGGGGAGCGAACGGG